GAGCUCACUUCAGCAACGCGUACACUAAAAUCAGAACGAUACAGAGGAGAUGAGCGCGGCCCCUGCGCAAGGAUGGCAUGCAGAUUCAUGUUCAGAGGAGGGGGACUCUAGCUAUGUGUUAUAUUUUU
rnacentral:snRNA from 1 species